rnacentral:rRNA from 1 species
UGGGGAAUAUUGGACAAUGGGCGCAAGCCUGAUCCAGCCAUGCCGCGUGAGUGAUGAAGGCCCUAGGGUUGUAAAGCUCUUUCACCGGUGAAGAUAAUGACGGUAACCGGAGAAGAAGCCCCGGCUAACUUCGUGCCAGCAGCCGCGGUAAUACGAAGGGGGCUAGCGUUGUUCGGAUUUACUGGGCGUAAAGCGCACGUAGGCGGACUAUUAAGUCAGGGGUGAAAUCCCGGGGCUCAACCCCGGAACUGCCUUUGAAACUGGUAGUCUUGAGUUCGAGAGAAGUGAGUGGAAUUCCGAGUGUAGAGGUGAAAUUCGUAGAUAUUCGGAGGAACACCAGUGGCGAAGGCGGCUCACUGGCUCGAUACUGACGCUGAGGUGCGAAAGCGUGGGGAGCAAACAGG